CAGCCGCCGCGGGAAUACGAAGGGGGCUAGCGUUACUCGGAAUUACUGGGCGUAAAGGGCGCGUAGGCGGCACGAUUAGUCAGGCGUGAAAUUCCUGGGCUCAACCUGGGGACUGCGCUUGAUACGGUCGAGCUAGAGGAUGGAAGAGGGUUGUGGAAUUCCCAGUGUAGAGGUGAAAUUCGUAGAUAUUGGGAAGAACACCGGUGGCGAAGGCGGCAACCUGGUCCAUUACUGACGCUGAGGCGCGACAGCGUGGGGAGCAAACAGGAUUAGAUACCCCAGUGUCCCUGUCUCUUAUACC
rnacentral:rRNA from 1 species